CCAGACUCCUACGGGAGGCAGCAGUGGGGAAUCUUCCGCAAUGGGCGAAAGCCUGACGGAGCAACGCCGCGUGAGUGAAGAAGGUCUUCGGAUCGUAAAGCUCUGUUGUCGGGGACGAAAGGGUAGACGAGGUAAUGCGUUUACUAAGACGGUACCCGACGAGGAAGCCACGGCUAACUACGUGCCAGCAGCCGCGGUAAUACGUAGGCGGCAAGCGUUGUCCGGAAUUAUUGGGCGUAAAGGGAGCGCAGGUGGGACGGUAAGUCCGUCUUAAAAGGCAGGGGCUCAGCCCCUGUAAGGGAUGGAAACUAUCGAUCUUGAGUGCCGGAGAGGAAAGCGGAAUUCCCAGUGUAGCGGUGAAAUGCGUAGAUAUUGGGAAGAACACCAGUGGCGAAGGCGGCUUUCUGGACGGCAACUGACACUGAGGCUCGAAAGCCAGGGGAGCGAACGGGAUUAGAUACCCCGGUAGUCCUGGCCGUAAACGAUGGAUACUAGGUGUGGGAGGUAUCGACCCCUACCGUGCCGGAGUUAACGCAAUAAGUAUCCCGCCUGGGGAGUACGGCCGCAAGGCUGAAACUCAAAGGAAUUGACGGGGGCCCGCACAAG
rnacentral:rRNA from 1 species